UGGGGAAUUUUGGACAAUGGGGGGAAACCCUGAUCCAGCCAUCCCGCGUGUGCGAUGAAGGCCUUCGGGUUGUAAAGCACUUUUGGCAGGAAAGAAACGUCGCGGGUUAAUACCCCCCGAAAACUGACGGUACCUGCAGAAUAAGCACCGGCUAACUACGUGCCAGCAGCCGCGGUAAUACGUAGGGUGCAAGCGUUAAUCGGAAUUACUGGGCGUAAAGCGUGCGCAGGCGGUUCGGAAAGAAAGAUGUGAAAUCCCCNGAGCUUAACUUUGGAACUGCAUUUUUAACUACCGGGCUAGAGUGUGUCAGAGGGAGGUGGAAUUCCCGUGUAGCAGUGAAAUGCGUAGNUAUGCGGAGGAACACCGAUGGCGAAGGCAGCCUCCUGGGAUAACACUGACGCUCAUGCACGAAAGCGUGGGGAGCAAA
rnacentral:rRNA from 1 species